GACGAACCGUGCGAACGUUAUUCGGAAUCACUGGGCUUAAAGCGCGUGUAGGCGGGAGGGCACGUCCGUCGCUGAAAUCCCCCGGCUCAACCGGGGAACGGGCGCGGAUACGACCUUCCUGGAGGGGCGUAGGGGGACCUGGAACUUCCGGUGGAGCGGUGAAAUGCGUUGAGAUCGGAAGGAACGCCCGUGGCGAAAGCGAGGUCCUGGACGCCUACUGACGCUGAGACGCGAAAGCCAGGGAGAGCGAACGGG
rnacentral:rRNA from 1 species